AAUUAUUUGUCAAAUAUAUUUUGUAAUUGCGUGUUACUUACCAAUUUGUGUGAAAAGUUUUAAUAAAUGUAUCUCAUGAACCGUAAGUUUGCGCAACCUAAAUCUUUGCAAAACUCUUUCUUUUAUGUUAAAGUUUGGGCUAAAUUUUGUUUUCCUAAUGGUGAUGGGACAUCCAUUGAAUCAUUAAAAACAGUGAAUGCCCAGCAUAGGAUACUAUGUGAAAAUCAUUUGAAUGAAUCUUCAUUUACCAGCAGCGAUAGGAAAAGACUUAACAAGUUAGAUUAAGAGUGAAUAGAGGAGGAUAUAGACCAAUUAAAAAACAAACAUUGUAGUCCAUAUAGAGCAAGUUAUGACAUCCAAGAACCAUCAACUAGCAAAGGUAUUUUGUAGGACUUGGAUGUGAAAAAGUUCAGUGAACUUACACCUCAAAAGCAAACGCUGUCUAAGAGAUGCAGAAAAAAUCUAUCUGAAAUAGUGAGGCUCUGAAAAAAGUUUCAAGGAGAUUGUGACACAGCAGACAAGUCAGCAGCUCUUGUCGAGGAGGUACAGUAAAGUGGAGCCACAUAGAGGAGUUUUAUAAAAAAGAUCGCGAGAAUCCCAACCGUGUUUGCUCCAGCUUUAACCCAGCACCACUUACAACCAGUACAGAAUGGCAAACAGAAAAUCAAAGAGCGCCUAGCAGAUCAAAUUUUAAGCCAUUCUGUUGCAGUUGGAAUAUUUGCCAAAAUGAAUGAUGACAAGACGCCCCUGGAACAACUGUCGCUGGACAAGCUUUUCGACUGAACGGAGAUUCGACCGACAGGAAAGAGGUAUAAACACUUAUUAUAAUAAUACUUGACAUCUGUAAUUGUGGAUGUGAUCCAAACCCCACGUCGGUCCAAUUAAAAACUAGCUUAGGCAAUUAGUAGCAGCGUUUUUAAUACGCUGAAAUUAUUAUUCUUCGAAGACACUAAACCUAGCUGCGCAACUGAAUAUCCCUGUAACAGCCAGGUGGAACCUCCAACCUCCCAGGGAAAUUAAGUG